AAGUUGCACUGACUGGUGCAACUUUAUUGCACCAGUAUAUUGCACCAGUAAUAUUAGGGUAGCUAAGUCUGUGCUUAAGUAUUAAUUUUUUAUAAAUACUUGAGAAGUGUUGCUCUCAGGUUGGUCUGCAUGUUUCUUGUGAGCGUGGCUGCUGGACCAGCACCUUGUGCUUCCCCCUGGAGCUGGAGCACUGUCCUCUGCCAUGAUGGAAUGAAAAGUGAAUGGUUCUGCCUUGAUGAAGCUCUUCAUCCACGUCUGUGACCUCGUGCUUCUCUCCCAGUUCAUGAUCUGAAUGGUGCAUCCAUGCCCACUGAUAACCAAUGGCCCAAGACAAGUGAGGAUUGCCUCAUGAGGUUCCUGUUCAGAGCUGCAUGCUGGCGGGUUGCAAUACCACUGAGAAUGGAAGGUCCAGAGCUGCAGCAGGAGUAAGGAACUUGGAAAAUGCAACUGGUGCGGAAGAGCGAGCAAGGUCACUGGUGACAAGGCUCAGCUCCAUCUGUGCAGGCAUGCUCUUGAGCAGAAGCAUUCCAGCAACAUGGCAUUUUGUCACAUUGUUCCAUUCCUUAUAAAUUUCAAUAGCCAGUUAUUUGCCUGCCUUUGGUUGGGAAACAAAGCCCCCCUUUGUGCAGCAACACAACACGGCUAUCUCAUGUAACGGAGAAAUGAAAUGCAAAUAACGCAGGAAUUGUGAUUGUCUGGGGAAGAAGGAAGCAUUGUCUGGUGACAAGAGCAGAAGAAAGUGGUGCUGCCCAGUGCUUCUGACUGUCAGUCCUAAAAGGUGGAAGAAACCACCAUCCGUGGAGUCUUCUGAUAACACUGACAUUAAAACCUUCCAUGUCCCCAUUUCAUCAUUCCCAGAAUGGGGACAAAAAUUAAUCUGCUCUUUUAUGCAAUUCAGCAAAGCACUUUAAGCUGCACUUUUUCUUUUUAAGUAUACAAGACGUCCACUGCCUACGCAGAGCAACAUUCAUGCUGAGCCUUUUCUGCACCAUCCCACCUCUUUGCUGCUUCUGAGGUCAAAUCCAUAGGAGAUGUUCUGCAGAGUGAGCAGAGAGUGAGGAAGAUGCUCAGCAAAGAAGCAAGAGGUUCGUUUGGCAUCACUCCCCUCAAAGAGGAAUGCUAACUUGCAUUGUCCACAUGAAGAGCUAUUCAGAGCUCAAAUGGGUGACAGUCAGGGGACAGUUUGACCUCUGGCACUAGCUGGAACUGGGCAGCAACAUGAGCCAGUGCAGUCAUGCUAAUUAAUGCACCCCGAGGGGACACAUUGAGGCACUGGCUCUAUACACCUGAGACAUACUGCUGGCAGUGCCAAGGUGCCAACUAGAGUGUUCUCUCAUAAAAACAACCCAUGCUAAAAAAUAAAAAAUAAAAAAGGCAAAAUUCCAACUUGUGUAUAUAGAACAAGACUUGGACGUAAAAAGCCAAAGUGGACUUAUUAAUCACAGACUCUUUUGAGUUGGAAGGGACCCUUAAGAGUCAUCUAGUCCUCUGCAACGAACAGGGACACUCCCAGCUCCAUCAUGUGCUCAGAGCCCUGUUCAGCCUGACCUUGGGUGUCUUCAAGGACAGGGCCUCCACCACCUCUCCGGGCAGCCUGUUCCAGCACCUUACCACCCUUACUGUAAAAAAAAUUCUUCCUUAUCCAAAUAAGGAAAGAUCUUCCUUAGAUCCCAUCUAAAUCUCUAUUCUUUUACUUUGAAACCAUUUCCCCUUGUCCUAUCCCCUAUCUAUAUCCCUUUGUCUUUAUCCUACACAUCUCUCUGACACAGUGAUACAAGGCAGCACAAGCUUUGCUUUAAAGGCCAUUACUGAAGUGCAGAAGCCAUGUCCCUGGGGUGGGCAGCAGCAUCUCUGAUAAACUGUCUUGCCUGCCUGGCCUGAAGGCACUCAUACUCAUCACCUUGGGUUAGCCUACUAUUGGGAGCAAAGAUGAACAUCUGAGGCUACAACCUCUGUAGCUCACAUGGGGAUGUCUGGAAAAGGACCCAGACUGAAGAGGACUGGUGCCACACGCCAAAUGAAUCCACUUCAAAGUGGGCAAGAAGGGCUCCAAUUCUUUUUCUGCUUCUGGUUUAACUUUAAUAGUGCAUUGUUUUCUGCAGGCUCUCCAUUUCAAAUUUUUCUAUCACCAAAUCUCAGCAAUCCUCAAGCUGAUUAUCACAGCAUUGAAAAUCAAGCUGUUUUUAGAGUAUGGUGUGGUCUUGGCUUCAUCAGAUGAUCAGUUCUUGAUAACUGAGGCAAGGCAGCACUUUGUUCAGAACAGCUAGUCUCACAUUAACUUGGUUUCUUCUUCAGUAGGUAUGUUUGUGGUGGAUGGGGGAUCUUAUGCAUGCAUUCAUUUGAAAUACUGGAGUGUUUCUGAUGGAGGAGUCCUGAAGGCACUUAACCCCCAGAACCUCAAAGACAAAAUCUUUACACAAUAUGACUUUCUCUCAGCUAGCUAUGAGAAGAUAAAUGCUGGGAUUGAUACAUGUGAGUAUCUACCCUGCAGUAUGCUACUAUUCCUCUAAAAUUUUAUCAGAGUUUAAUAUGGUGAAAGUACACAUGGCUGUAUGGGGCACUACUUUACAGCAGAGUGGAUAGUAGGAGAGAGGAACCAUUUGGCAAAUCAGACCCAGCCACAUGGCAUUCAUUUGGUUAAUCACCAGCUAUUAAAAUAGCAUCAAAUCAUAGCAACCUAUUUGUUUAUCAUUCAGUGCACAAUUUUCUGCACAGUAUAUUCAUAACUGUGUACCCAAGCUAAUUUUAAACGAGCCAACAAAGCCAUUUUCCAGCACUCUCCUGAGAAAUGGAUCUGUAGACUGAUCAAUCUCGCUGCUUCUGGGGCUAAGCCCCCACAGAAUCAGAGCUGAUGACAUUGGCGUUUAACUUUGUAAUAAGCUGAUGCUUAUUUAUUCCCAAUUUAAAACUCUGUCAUUUAAAUCUUUUGCAUUACUCCAAGAUUUGACUUCCAGUAUCUCCAAGCAGAUUAUAUCACCCAUGUUCUCCCUAGGCACGAAUGUUCAAGCACCACUGCAGACAACGUUGUGAUUUCCAUUAGAGACAACACAACAUUCAGCAGUUCCUUGAUGGUUCCUCUUUUUCACCAGGAAUUCAUCAAAUGAUGAAAUCCUGUUAAACUCAGAACGAUAACUUUGAUCCUGGUCUUCAAAGUGCUGAUGUUUUAUUUCUGAGGGCUGACACCUCACUGCUGGAGUAGGAUCCUUCUGUAAUUAAGGGAAGCAGAACACUAGAGCUGUGGUUUGUGCAAAUAUUAAAUUAGUUUUAUCGCUGAGGAAAAAAAUGGAUGAAGAUAUAAUGGUAACACAGUGGGGUUCUUCUGUUGUUUGUAUCACAAUAGAGCUUAGGAGCCAUAGUGAUGUACCUCUGGUGUAUGAAUGAUGCAAAAAAUCUGAGAAAUGAGUAGCACCUUCCCCCAAAAUACCUUUUCAUAUUAGUAAAUAAAUGUAGUUCAGAAUGUUCCCUCUGCUACUGUUGGUGUCCUGAUCAAGCUUCCUCACCUUUAACAUACCUGCAGAGAAAAGAGGACAAAUUUUGGCUUUGCUGACAGACCCGCUGCCCAGAUUCCCACAAUGUCCUUGCUCUUAGUGCCAGUGAAAUAGGUGUGUGCUUAUUUUUAGGGUGCAAUGGGAUAUGAUGAGACCUCAGAGCCGUCUGAAGGCUAGCUGAAUCGUUGGCUUGGCAUUUCGUUCUGCACGUCAGUUGAUUGGUCAUUUUAUCACCAGUUAUGAAGUGAAAUUAGAUAAUCUUGAUGCCAUAUGGUAUACAGUAUUUAUAGUUUAGUAUGUUUUCCAUACAUGUGCGCUAAAGCCUGCUUCAGGGAUUUGUUACGGUCCUCGUGUUUACAGGAUUUGGGUCUUGGGUGAAAGAAGAAAUUGACAGUUACUAAUGUUUGAUUUAAACUAACACAUCGGAGGCCACAUGGGCGAUCCCUAAUUAGAGUCAAUUCACACUUCCCAUCCUUCACCAGGGAGGCUGUCAAGACUCCAUGGGACCAGAUCCCAUGUCCACUCAGCUCUGCUACCUCCAGCAGCCAUUGAGACCGAGAAUCUGUGGUGGUUAAUCUCCACCCCAGCUCCUCUCCCGAACAGCCGUGGGUGUGUGAUGUCUCCUCCAGGCUUCUGACACAGGUAGGUUUCAACCUGAAGCAUCGCUACGAGGAUUACUGUCAGCAUUAGGUUUAAGUUCAGAAAUUCUUGCUUUGUAUCAAAAUGCUCCAUUCCCGCUGAAAUCUCAAUAGAUAAGUAUUAGAAUAAUAAGAUAGGAUUAAUUAUGUGGGACAUUAGUCACUCAGUAUGUGUCAUUAUUUUCUCAAAACGAGACUGAAUGAAUGCCACAGAAGGGUCUGAUAGAGAUCUGCAUUUGUAGCUCACUCAAAUGCAAUGACAUAGAAGUGUAUUCUGAACCCCAAACAUUAUUUUCCUGAUACAGGUACCUGUGCUGGGGACACUAGUAAGUUACAUGGUGUGAAUGCCCUCACCACAGAUAAUUUCUUGACUGUUUCUCAACAAAACAGAUCCCCAUGUGUAUCUUCUGAACCAAGCUAUAAGUACGUGCAAAGCUAUGGCAGGCUUCAGAGCACAUGUUGGUCUGCUUCAGACCGUGGUCCCAGUCCUCAUCUCUGUCUCUGCUGCCAUGUCUUCCUUACUCAAAGCUGAUGUAAUAGCAAGCAGAACAGGAGCAGGCUGAGGAUGGACUUUUUUCUUUUUCUUUUUUUCUUUUUUUGAAG